rnacentral:rRNA from 1 species
GUAACGCGUGAGCAACCUGCCUUUCAGUGGGGGACAACAUUUGGAAACGAAUGCUAAUACCGCAUAAGACCACAGUGUCGCAUGGCACAGGGGUCAAAGGAUUUAUCCGCUGAAAGAUGGGCUCGCGUCCGAUUAGCUAGAUGGUGAGGUAACGGCCCACCAUGGCGACGAUCGGUAGCCAGACUGAGAGGUUGAACGGCCACAUUGGGACUGAGACACGGCCCAGACUCCUACGGGAGGCAGCAUG